rnacentral:rRNA from 1 species
CCUACGGGCGGCAGCAGUGAGGAAUAUUGGUCAAUGGGCGGAAGCCUGAACCAGCCAAGUAGCGUGCGGGAUGAAGGCCCUACGGGUCGUAAACCGCUUUUGUACGGGGAUAACACCCUCCACUUGUGGAGGUCUGCAGGUACCGUGCGAAUAAGGGCCGGCUAAUUCCGUGCCAGCAGCCGCGGAAAUACGGAAGGCCCGAGCGUUAUCCGGAUUCAUUGGGCUUAAAGGGAGCGUAGGCGGGCGUUCAAGUCAGCUGGAAAAUCGCGCGGCUCAACCGCGCCCCGAAGUUGAAACUGGACGCCUUGAGUUCACAACAGGCAGGCGGAAUUCGUGGUGUAGCGGUGAAAUGCAUAGAUAUCACGAGGAACCCCGAUGGCGAAGGCAGCCUGCCGGGGUGCGACUGACGCUGAGGCUCGAAGGUGCGGGUAUCAAACAGGAUUAGAUACCCCAGUAGUC